UACGUAGGGAGCAAGCGUUACUCGGAAUUACUGGGCAUAAAGGGCGUGUAGGCGGAUGCGCAAGUCUGGUGUGAAAGCCCCCGGCUCAACCGGGGAAUGCCAUUGGAUACUGCGUGUCUUGAGUGCAGGAGGGGAGAGCGGAACUCUUGGUGGAGCGGUGAAAUGCGUAGAUAUCAAGAGGAACGCCGGUGGCGAAAGCGGCUCUCUAGCCUGUUACUGACGCUGAGGCGCGAAAGCCAGGGGAGCGAACGGGAUUAGAUACCCUCGUA
rnacentral:rRNA from 1 species